CAUAAACUGUUAUUGUGAAGUUGUGUUGUGUGUAGCAAGAAACCCUCUCUCUCUCUCUCUCUCUCAUCAGCCAAUUGGAUUCGAAUGAAGGCAUGGUGUCGCGGAAAAGGAGAAGGAAGUUCAAAUCGUCAAGUGAUGCAAUCACAAACAAUAGUAGGGUUGUUGCUAAGGUGAAAAGUGAAAAUUUGGAGCUGCAAUCCUGGGCUGAUCUCCCUGUUGAACUCUUAGAAGCGAUCUUGUCACCUUUGAUCCUCACGGAUAAUAUUCGUGCUUCUGCUGUUUGCAAGAGAUGGCAUUCAGUUGCCAGAUCUGUACGUGUAGAGAACCAAUCACCUUGGCUUAUGUAUUUCCCAAAAUCUGGUAACUGUUAUGAAUUCUAUGACCCUGUGCAGCGUAAGACAUAUUCCCUUGAGUUGCCAGAGUUGGAUGGAUGUUGUGUUUGUUAUACAAAAGAUGGUUGGUUAUUGCUAUACCGGCCCAAAAACCGCCUGUUAUUUUUCUUUAAUCCCUUUACUAGGGAGCUGAUCAAGCUGCCGAGAUUUGAGAUGACACACCAGAUUGUUGCCUUCUCUUGUGCCCCAACAUCAACUGGAUGUAUUAUAUUUACUGUUAAACACGUUAGUUCUACUAUUGUAGCUAUUAGCACAUGUUAUCCUGGGGCAAAAGAUUGGACCACUGUUCAUUACGAAAACCGCUCGCUUUUUGUCUGUAGCAUAUGGAAUAAGCUUGUCUUUUGUAAUGGGUUAUUCUAUUGUCUGAGUCUCACAGGUUGGUUAGGGGUGUUUGACCCGGUUUUAUGUUCUUGGAAUGUUCUGGAAGUACCUCCACCCAAAUGCCUAGAGAGUUUUUUUGCCAAAAACUGGUGGAAAGGGAAAUUUAUGACUGAGCAUCAAGGAAAUAUAUUCGUAAUUUAUAUAUGUUGUCGUGAGAACCCAAUUAUUUUCAAGUUAAAUCAGACACUAAUGGAGUGGGAAGAAAUGAGAACGCUGGAUGGAGUGACACUUUUUGCUAGUUUUUUGUCAUCUCAUUCUAGGACUGACAUCACUGGAAUAAAGAGAAACAGUGUCUACUUCUCUAAAGUUCGUUUCUAUGGAAAGCGUUGCAUAUCAUUCUCUCUUGAGGACAAUCGAUACUAUCCCAGUAAGCAGUGUCAUGACUGGGUAGAACCGGAUGCUUUUGAGAACAUCUGGAUUGAACCACCAAAAGACUUUGCUGCUAGUAUUUAAAAAUCAUUAGUGGAUCAAGUAAGCAUUUCUAAAAUCUGCGUCGUGUUGAGCUUUUCAUUGAAGCUUUUGACUAUGGAAUAUUGGAUACAUGCUUUUGUAGUUAGCAUACAUUUUGAUUCAGCCUCUCUUCCUUGUCGAUUCUACAUUUCAUGUUAUAGGUUCUGAGUUCACCGAUAUUGCUUUUUGGCUGUAGGAGUCAACGAGGAAAACUUAUUUGCAGGCUGUACAUAGAAGAAUAAUAUUUACUUGAAAAAAGUUUUUACUCGCAUACGAAGGAACGGAUAUGUCUAAGGAGGAAGAAAAAAAGAUUUGUCUCUUCGGUUAUUGUCUUUACAGAUCCCGAAUUUUAAGAUUUUUCUCCAGCAAUGCUUAUGUGGGACUUUAGAGUUUAUACUACUAAUCUAUAGAUUUAAUUAUUUAUAUUUUGAGUAGGAUCUGUUGAUUUAUUUAUUUCAAUUAUCAUUAGUCUCCUAAUUUUGUUUGUAUACUAAUAAUUAAAUUCAACAAUAGUUUCUUUUCGAAUGUUGAAAAUACGUCGUGGUGAAUUUCCGGUGGAACCUGUGUAUUCUGCUCGUGACAUUUAAUUGUUAAGUCUAAUGUCCAAGUUUUACCAAUGUA